AAGCAGAGAUAAAACCUCGUACCUUUUGCAUCAUGAUCUAGCCAGUCAACCCCAAGCAAAGAGAACUCUAGUUUGAAACCCCGAAACCUACAACGAGCUACCCCAAGGCCGUCUAAAACAGGACAAACCCGUCUCUGUAGCAAAAGAGUGGGAAGACCUUCAGGUAGAGGUGAAAAGCCUACCGAGUCAGGUUAUAGCUGGUUGCUCAGGAAAUGAAUAGAAGUUCAGCCCCGCGACCCCCUCACGCCAGCCUUCAACUAAAGGCAAAGAGUUAAACCCGGGAGUUAGUUAAAGGAGGUACAGCUCCCUUAACAAAGGAUACAACCUCAACAAGGAGGCUAAGGAAUAUACUACACCAAGGCUACAAAGUCUUAGUAGGCCCAAAAGCAGCCACCUAAACUAAAAGCGUUAAAGCUUAAACUUCACCAAGCCUAUUAUUUUAUUCAGCUAUCCAACGCCCCUCCCCCUACCGAGCCAUUUUAUGCACCCAUAAAAGAAACCAUGCUAGAACUAGUAAUAAGAAGAAUGAACUUCUCCACGCACAAGUGUAAGUCGAACCGGACAAACCACCGACAAUUAACGAACCCAAAAACAGAGGGCCAAACACCCCAACCACUAAAACCAAGAAAACCACGUCCAACCAAAAUCGUUACCCCAACACAGGAGUGCACACCCAAAGGAAAGACCAAAAGGAUAAAAAGGAACUCGGCAAACAAAAACCCCGCCUGUUUACCAAAAACAUCGCCUCCUGCCACCAAUCGCAUAGGAG
rnacentral:rRNA from 1 species